GGCCAAAUUGGUACUAAAUAAAAAAGUAAAUGGCCAAUAUAUAGUUGCUUAGCCGUACUACAUUUAAACCUAAAAUUAUAUCUAAAAUGGAAAACAGCAAGAAGCCAGCAGCCAAGUAUGGAACUCCCAGAACCUAGAUACAGUUGAAUGAUUAAUUUCAAUUGAUCUAUUCACCAAAAAAUAGUCCCCCAAUACCCGAGCAUUCAAAAAUAGAGUGAAGUUGCAAGAAGCAAGAAGCCACACAACUCAAAAAGAAAAAGAAAAACCUUAUAUAGCAUCGUUUUAAAAUUGCAACUACUUGAGCUAAUCAUCAAGGAUAUCACAAUCAUUUGCAAUUGAAGAUUGAGAGGAGCAUUGAUGUAUCAUGUUUUCCCUGUAUCGUUACCUGAUGUAUCAAAAUAAAGUGUGGGCAAGAAUUUGGAAGCAAGUUUGAGGAUCUUGGUUUUCCAGAAGAUUCUCUAUCCUAUCCAAAAUUUGAGCAGCUUUGGCCUUAGCUGACAAAGCUUCCUUGACCGUAAUGUCAGUGUUAAUCCUUUCCAUAAUGACGGCAUUGAGGAUAGACUCAAAAACAAUGUUGGCAGCGGCAACCAACUAUUUUGCAAAAUGGAGGUUGAUUUCAAUGGUGUUCUUAUAAGAAUCAUUGGGAGUAACAUAGAAAGUGAAAUUAGGGUUAGAACAAAGAGGGCACAAGUAAAUAGGAGAGUUGGAAGCAACAUCAUGGAUGCAAGAGAGGUGUGAGAUAGAGGGUCAUUUUAAGCAAAUGAGGCUGUAGAGGGGGAGGAGGGCUGUGGAGGAAGAUGUCGAAGCAGAUGACAGAAGGAACUGGGUUGGGGGUCAAGUAUGCAGGUGGUGCAAAGAUGGCGGUGGACACCUCUGUAGGGGAGAAGGCGGAGGAUGAAGGGGAGAGUGGCGGCACAGACUGCGCAUUGUUGUCUGGAAAGACCUUCAUUUUUCUACUCCUGCACCUGUUGCAGCAUCAUAAUGUACAAACAAUUCGCUCUAUCUCCAUCGCCUCCCUUUAAUUAUAAUAAAAAGCUUACAUUUAUUUAUACUGAAUGAUGUUGGAAACUUGUUGAGAUUCUAAGUACCCACACCCCUUUUCUCUCUGAUGUUCUCUGAAUGGAUUCAUGACUGAUUGAAAUAGAUGCAUAUUUCAUAUUUCAUUUGGAAAUUGUGAACUCUCAUAUUUAUUUAUACGGACUAAUAUAAGGAACUUUUUGUGAUUCUAAGAAUCCAGCCCUCUCAUUGCUCUCGUAUGUUUUCUGAAUGCAUUCAUGAAUGAUUGAAAUAGACACAUAUUUUCUUUUUUUACGUGGAAAUUGUGAAAUAUCACACAAAUUAUUAAUGUUAUCUGGAGCAGACACUUCUCUUCCCUCUAUAUAUCCUGUACCGCAUUGUAGAUUCUACUUACGCUCCCCUAUGUCAAUGACUCGCCACAUGUAAGGAUACUUGGUUACCAAUAGACAUGCCUUACGACUUAGAAAAAAUGUGUAUUCAUGUCGUUGAUUGCAGACAUGGUCAAGUUAUUGAUAUCAUUUUGGAGUUCUUUGCCCUGUAUGAGUUGUUUUUGUACAUAACAAAUAGGCAAUUUCUGCUCUUGUUUGUUUUUCUUUGUUUUGAAAAUUUUCUUUCAUGUGGACAUGGCCCUAUAUCCAAGCUUUUUUUUUCGGUUGUAUGAAUUUUCUUGUUAGUAUAAUUUUAAUGCUUGUUUCGAUUGUUACUUGAAUUUUAUUGUAGGUAUCAUCAAUUCCUUCAUUAGGUAAUGAGGAUAAUUCCCAUUUUGUAUAACCAGCUAUAUGAUGAGAUCGAAUCGUUGCGUUAUUUUUCUUGUUUUAUCCUUCAGCUUACCUUUGAAUAGUAGUCUUCUUUUAACUAACUUAGAAUCUCAACAAGUUUUCUAUAUCAGUCCGUAUAACUAAAUGUAAGAUUUCUAUUAUGAUUAUGAUUACGAUAGGCCAUAAAGAUAGAGCAAAUUGUUUGUUCAGAUGCCACAGCAGGUGGAAGUGUAGCCUUAUGAAGAUGUUUUCAGACGUCGAUACACGAUUUGCGCCACCAUUCACCCAUUCAUCCUCCACCUUCUCCCCUAGAGAGUUCUACACAGCCAUCUUUCAUCAGCCUGCUUACCGGACUCCCACCCCGGUUCCUUCUGCCCCAUAUGCUUUGAUGUCUUCCUCCACACCCUUCCUCCCUGUCACCAGCAUCUCCUUUGACUAAAUUGCCUCUCUUUCUCACACCUCUCAUGCAUCCUUGUUGCUUGCUUCCUCCUCCCCUUGUUACUUGCCCCCUCAUUGUUCUAACCCUAAUUUCACUUUCCUUUAUGGUACACCCGAUGAUGCUAAUAACUCCACUGAAAUCAACCUCCAUUUGGCUAAACAGUUGAUUGCCGCUGCUACCAUUGAUUUUGAGUCUAUAUAUAAUGUUACAAUUAUGGCCAGGAUCAAUACCGACGUUAGGGUCAAGGAAGCUUUGUCAGCUACAGCUGAAGUUGCCCAUGUUUUUGACAGGUUAAAGCAUUUGCUGGACAAC
rnacentral:lncRNA from 1 species